rnacentral:rRNA from 1 species
CCUACGGGUGGCAGCAGUGGGGAAUAUUGCACAAUGGGGGAAACCCUGAUGCAGCGACGCCGCGUGAGCGAUGAAGUAUUUCGGUAUGUAAAGCUCUAUCAGCAGGGAAGAAAAUGACGGUACCUGACUAAGAAGCCCCGGCUAACUACGUGCCAGCAGCCGCGGUAAUACGGGGGAUGCAAGCGUUAUCCGGAUUUAUUGGGUUUAAAGGGUGCGUAGGCUGUGAGGUAAGUCAGCGGUGAAAUGCCCCCGCUCAACGGGGGGAAGUGCCAUUGAUACUGCCUUGCUGGAAUGCGGAUGAGGUGGGAGGAAGGUGUGGUGUAGCGGUGAAAUGCAUAGAUAUCACACAGAACACCAAUUGCGAAGGCAUCUCACGGAUCCGCGAUUGACGCUGAUGCACGAAAGCGUGGGUAGCAAACAGGAUUAGAUACCCUAGUAGUC